rnacentral:rRNA from 1 species
UACGUAGGUGGCGAGCGUUGUCCGGAUUUACUGGGCGUAAAGGGAGCGUAGGCGGACUUCUAAGUGAGAUGUGAAAUACUCGGGCUCAACUUGAGUGCUGCAUUUCAAACUGGAAGUCUAGAGUGCUGGAGAGGAGAAUGGAAUUCCUAGUGUAGCGGUGAAAUGCGUAGAGAUUAGGAAGAACACCAGUGGCGAAGGCGAUUCUCUGGACUGUAACUGACGCUGAGGCUCGAAAGCGUGGGGAGCAAACAGG